AGUGGUGAAAUCCCAGAGCUCAACUCUGGAACUGCCAUUGAUCCUGUCGGUCUUGAAUUUAUUUGAGGUGGGCGGAAUACUUUAUGUAGCGGUGAAAUGCAUAGAUAUAACGUAGAACACCCAUUGCGAAGGCAGCUCACUAAACUAACAUUGACGCUGAUGGACGAAAGCUUGGGGAGCGAACAGGAUUAGAUUCCCUGGUGGGCCACGCCGUAAACAAUAAUAACUCUUUGUGCACAAAACAUCGCGCGUGACUGACCGAAAGCAUUAAGUAUUCUCCCUGGGGAGUACUUUCGCUUAAUGAAACU
rnacentral:rRNA from 1 species